rnacentral:lncRNA from 1 species
CAGUGCAAAAGUGUGGAAAACCAGAAAUAAGAAGAUUCUCUAUGGAAAAGGUGCUUACCUGGAAGAAAGACAACUAGGACCAUACCAGGAAGAAAAACAACUUCUGAAUUUCACAAGCCCAGGUUAUCUGAGCCUCAGAAUAGUAUGUGAAUCCUGUCACAGAUUGGUCAUUCUCAAGAAAUCACAGCUUUGCAAGUGCUGAGGGGAAAAAUGUAUUUCUUUAGUGAAGCCACAAUAUAUGAAUCAAAAAUAUAGAGGAAAUACUUUAUUGUGUAAG